rnacentral:rRNA from 1 species
UACGGGGGGAGCAAGCGUUGUUCGGAUUUACUGGGCGUAAAGGGCGCGUAGGCGGUCAGCACAAGUCAGUUGUGAAAUCUCCGGGCUUAACUCGGAAAGGUCAACUGAUACUGUGCGACUAGAGUGCGGAAGGGGGCAACUGGAAUUCUCGGUGUAGCGGUGAAAUGCGUAGAUAUCGAGAGGAACACCUGCGGCGAAGGCGGGUUGCUGGGCCGACACUGACGCUGAUGCGCAAAAGCCAGGGGAGCGAACGGG